UCAAAAUCGUUCCUUAUCAUUGAUUUUGGUCUUUUUAUUUCUUUUGUUUCACUCUACUGAUACUCUUUUUGGCAAAAACUGUAUUUUACAAAGGCUGGGAGGGAUUCGACAGAUAUUGAAAUAUAUGGGAUGCAAGAAAUCCCACCUGAUGUCUUGGCUGCACAUUAUGGAGAGGAAGGUUCACUUGCUGAUUAGAAAUCCUGCAUCUGCUGUCAUUCAAAUCUUUUGGUAAGUUGUUGAUUCUAUUGUUGGCAAAGGAUUCAUCUUUUAUCUGAUUGUUUUGGAACCAUUUUA